rnacentral:rRNA from 1 species
AAAGGAAUAGACGGGGGCCCGCACAAGCGGAGGAACAUGUGGUUUAAUUCGAUGAUACGCGAGGAACCUUACCCGGGCUUGAAUUGCAGACUGAGGUGCCGGAGACGGCACCGUCCUUCGGGAAGUCUGUGAAGGUGCUGCAUGGUUGUCGUCAGCUCGUGCCGUGAGGUGUCGGCUCAAGUGCCAUAACGAGCGCAACCCCUGUCUCCCGUUGCCAUCAGGUUAAGCUGGGCACACCGGAGAGACUGCCGCCGUAAGGUGCGAGGAAGGUGGGGAUGACGUCAAAUCAGCACGGCCCUUACGUCCGGGGCUACACACGUGUUACAAUGGCCGGUACAGAGCGAAGGCGUCCCGCAAGGUCCGCCGAAGCGCCAAAGCCGGCCCCAGUACGGACUGGGGUCUGCAACCCGACCCCACGAAGCUGGAUUCGCUAGUAAUCGCGCAUCAGCCAUGACGCGGUGAAUACGUUCCCGGGCCUUGUACACACCGCCCGU